AGCUUUGCACAGUGGCAGUAUCAUAGCCAAUGAGGUUUAUCCGAGGCGCGAUUAUUGCUAAUUAAAGUGCCAGGCAAAUCUUUUGGUGGAGAUUGAAGGUUUUCUUCUGGUAGGAGUGCUGAUUCAUUCACUCACAUCCCAGGGUACUAUUCACAGCCUUGUGCAAGG
rnacentral:snRNA from 1 species